GCCACCGUCUUGAAACAAACUAAAGAAACAAAACCCUAAUUUAUUUUGAGGGAUUCCAAAAAAGGAAAAAAAACUGGCAAUUUUUUGCUUUUCUGCUUCACUUUCACUCCCACUGGAACUCUAUCUCGUUUUCUUUGUCAUUUUUCCCGGAAAAUUAAACUUGUUAUUUGGAUUGGGAUGACGGUUAUUUGAAAAACGGUUACGUUAAUUAGACAAUUGCCAAAAUCGUAGCGGAGGCUAGGGUUAGGACUUUCCCGUUUCUUUCUUCUACCCUCGUCAUUUUGUCUAGAAAAGUUUCUUCUUUGCCCCUUUCGGUUCAAACUCUGGCGUUUGGGAACUUAUUUUUGAAAUUUUAAUCCAGGGUUCUCAAUCUUACCCCAAAUUUAUUGUUAUUUUAGAAUUAUUUUACUAAUUGAACUGCUUUAUGAGAAUUUGCUGUUAUCUUGAUUUUUUUAAUUUAUUGGAAAUUAUGAGGGUUAUUUGAGUCCAGAAAAUCAGCAAUAUGAGAGUCGAUGGUGAUAAAGGGAGAGAGUUAACUAAAAUAUAAGCUCUUUAUUUUAGUGGUUUUACAUAUGUUAAAUUUCUGCUCCUUUUAAUCAAACAAUUCUUCUUUCCAUUUGUUGAACAGCGUAUUAAAUCCUGAGUUGAAUGACAAGCGACUGGGUUAAGAGUUUGUGAUUUGUCUACGAAUUAAAAAUAAUUUGGUGGGUUAGGGUUUUACGAAGGUGGAAGAAGGUUUUCCCCUCUGAUUAUCAUGUUCAGUUUCCAUUAUGGAAAGAAGUGAACCAGAAUUAGUUCCAGAAUGGUUGAGAAAUACGGGCACUAUUAGCGGGAGUGGCAAUGCAGCCCACCAAUCUGCUUCCUCCUCUUCUCUCUCAGAUGUUUCUUCAUCGCCACAUCAUGGGAGAAGUAGAAGCUCUAGGAAUAUUGGUGAUUUUGAUUCCCCUAGUUUUGCAUUUUUGAAUCGGGCAUCUUCCUUGAAUUUACGGAGGAGUUCUAGUAAUUUCAAGGCAUGCUUAUAGUAGUUUUAGUAGGAGUCAUCGUGAUAAGGAUCGAGAAUGGCAUAAGGAGAGGUUAAACUUUGGUGUUCGUUGGGACCGUGAUUCUUCCGACCCUUUAGAAAGUAUUUUAGCGAGUAGCGUUGAGAAAUUAGGAGGUAUACCCACCUCAAGGGUGGAGAUUGAUACAUUUCGGCAGUCUCAUUCUAUGGUCUCUAGGAAACAGGCUGACCCUUUGGCUCAAAGGACUGCAGUGGACUCAAGAGACAGGAGUAUUAGUAACAAUGACAAUGACAAAGGUCUGGUUUCUGGGGGUGCUAUUGGGAGUAGCAUCCAGAAGGAUGCAUUUCGGAAAGAUUUUCCCUCUCUUGGAAUAGAAGAGAGGCAAUCAGUGCCUGAGAUUGCUAGUUACAUCUCCUGGUUUGAGCUCAGUUUCUCAGUGUUUAUCUGUUGGCAAUUCAGCUUUGAUUGAUGGGGAAGGAUGGACCUCAGCUCUGGCAGAAUCACCUACUGUGGUUGGUAGUAGUAGCACAUGUUGCUUUCCUGCCCCCUAACUGUUUCCACCCCAGUGUCUGUGGUUCCAAGUGCCACAUCUGCUCUUAAUAUGGCAGUAGCACUAGCUCAAGCUCAUUCACGAGUACGUACUGCUUCCCAGUUAUCUGUCAAUACUCAAAGGCGUGAGGAGCUGGCCAUUAAGCAAUCAAGGCAACUAAUACCAGAGACACCUUCAAUGCCUAAGGGUUCGGUAAGCUAUUUGCCUUCACUUUCAGAAAAAUAUAGUUUUCUAGUGCUGUUUAAUUUGUGGUUUUACUCGUAUUAGACAAUUUUGGUUCCCGUCCCUCUUGCUUCUGCCUUCUUGUACAUUAUUUAUAUUGAUCAGACAUUGUAUACUUAAUAUUUCUUUAUAUCUAUUUCCUGAUAUCUGCAUUUAGGUUUUCUAUGUUAUACAAAAACUUUAUUUUGGUACUUAUGUGCUGGAUUUUAUCCUACUUAGUUGUCUAUAUGGCAAUAUUACCGAAAUUUUGAUAGGGUAAAGUAUACUAAUGGUCACUAAACUUUUCUAAAGCUUUCAUUUAGG